UACGUAGGGUGCAAGCGUUGUCCGGAAUUAUUGGGCGUAAAGAGCUCGUAGGCGGUUUGUCGCGUCUGCUGUGAAAACGCGAGGCUCAACCUCGCGCCUGCAGUGGGUACGGGCAGACUAGAGUGCGGUAGGGGAGAUUGGAAUUCCUGGUGUAGCGGUGGAAUGCGCAGAUAUCAGGAGGAACACCGAUGGCGAAGGCAGACCUCUGGGCCGUAACUGACGCUGAGGAGCGAAAGCGUGGGGAGCGAACAGG
rnacentral:rRNA from 1 species